UUUCAGUGAACAAUGUGAACGUUGUGAUUCGCACCAGGACGGAGCACCUCACAGACGAGGAGAAGGCCAGGAUAAAAAGUGAAAGGAAUGUUCUGGAGUCUUUACUCGGGACAGUAGAGCAACAGAUCGGUGCUCAAGGGGACAUGACUAUGGAGUAUGCCACUGCCACAAACCCCAC